rnacentral:rRNA from 1 species
UACGUAGGUGGCAAGCGUUGUCCGGAUUUACUGGGUGUAAAGGGCGUGCAGCCGGGCUGACAAGUCAGAUGUGAAAUCCCGCGGCUCAACCGCGGAACUGCAUUUGAAACUGUCAGUCUUGAGUACCGGAGAGGUCAUCGGAAUUCCUUGUGUAGCGGUGAAAUGCGUAGAUAUAAGGAAGAACACCAGUGGCGAAGGCGGAUGACUGGACGGCAACUGACGGUGAGGCUCGAAAGCGUGGGGAGCAAACAGG